rnacentral:rRNA from 1 species
UCCGUAGGUGAACCUGCGGAAGGAUCAUUAAAAUUAGAAAAGUGCGGGUUCGCCCGCACUCUCUAUACCCUUUGUUUACCAACCAUUGUUGCUUUGGCAGGCCGCGGCCUCCGCUGCGGGCUUCAUGCUCGCAUGUGCCUGCCAGAGGACCCCAACUCUUGAUUUUAGUGAUGUCUGAGUACUAUUAAAUAGUUAAAACUUUCAACAACGGAUCUCUUGGUUCUGGCAUCGAUGAAGAACGCAGCGAAAUGCGAUAAGUAAUGUGAAUUGCAGAAUUCAGUGAAUCAUCGAAUCUUUGAACGCACAUUGCGCCCGCUGGUAUUCCGGCGGGCAUGCCUGUUCGAGCGUCAUAAUGACCAACUCACGCUCCGCGUGGUCUUGGGGCCCGCUGCCACGGCGGCCCCUAAACGCAGUGGCGGUGCCGUGCGGCUCUCAGCGUAGUAAUUCUUCUCGCUACAGGGUCCGGACGGUGCUGGCCAGCAACCCCAACUAUAUAAGGUUGACCUCGGAUCAGGUAGGGAUACCCGCUGAACUUAAGCAUAUC